UACGAAGGGUGCAAGCGUUAAUCGGAAUUACUGGGCGUAAAGCGUGCGCAGGCGGCUUUGCAAGACAGAUGUGAAAUCCCCGGGCUCAACCUGGGAACUGCAUUUGUGACUGCAAGGCUAGAGUACGGUAGAGGGGGAUGGAAUUCCGCGUGUAGCAGUGAAAUGCGUAGAUAUGCGGAGGAACACCAAUGGCGAAGGCAAUCCCCUGGGCCUGUACUGACGCUCAUGCACGAAAGCGUGGGGAGCAAACAGG
rnacentral:rRNA from 1 species